CGGCCUCCUUCUACUCGUCCCACCCUUGGGAAAGCCCACGAACGUCUUCGCCGGCGUCUUCCACCUCAACCUGCAAUACCCACAAGUUAUUCGGUGCUCGCCACGGAACUAAAUUAGGUAUUGGAGAUACCAGCAUUUAUGGAGAGAUAAAGCACGUGUGGAUCUGAAUAUGGUUGGCAAGGCUCGGCGCCGCUGUGCUCAAGGCCGUGCUUCAACUCGACUCAAAUCCUCCUUUGAGACGGCAGCGGAGAGACUCCCCGAUGACCUCCUUGUUGAUAUCCUCUCGCGUGUGCCCGUCAAAUCACUCUGCCGCUUUAAGUGUGUCUCCAAGCACUGGCUCGGACUCAUCGACCACCCCGAGCACCGCAGAAAGCUACCCCAAACCCUGGUCGGGUUCUUCUGCAACAACGACGAAUCAGUUAUCCAGUUUACCAGUGUAACGGAGAGCAGCUACCCUCUGAUUGACACAUCUUUCGCAUUUCUGCCCAACUGCGGGCAGCUGGAACUUUUGGACUGCUGCGACGGCC